rnacentral:rRNA from 1 species
GCACAAGCGGUGGAGCAUGUGGUUUAAUUCGAAGCAACGCGAAGAACCUUACCAGGUCUUGACAUCCCGAUGCUAUUUCUAGAGAUAGAAAGUUACUUCGGUACAUCGGUGACAGGUGGUGCAUGGUUGUCGUCAGCUCGUGUCGUGAGAUGUUGGGUUAAGUCCCGCAACGAGCGCAACCCCCUAUUGUUAGUUGCCAUCAUUCAGUUGGGCACUCUAGCGAGACUGCCGGUAAUAAACCGGAGGAAGUGGGGAUGACGUCAAAUCAUCAUGCCCCUUAUGACCUGGGCUACACACGUGCUACAAUGGUUGGUACAACGAGUUGCGAGUCGGUGACGGCGAGCUAAUCUCUUAAAGCCAAUCUCAGUUCGGAUUGUAGGCUGCAACUCGCCUACAUGAAGUCGGAAUCGCUAGUAAUCGCGGAUCAGCACGCCGCGGUGAAUACGUUCCCGGGCCUU